UGAGGAAUAUUGGUCAAUGGACGCAAGUCUGAACCAGCCAUGCCGCGUGAAGGAUGAAGGCCCUAUGGGUUGUAAACUUCUUUUGACAGGGACGAACGUUGGGUACGUGUACCCAAGUGACGGUACCUGCAGAAUAAGCAUCGGCUAACUCCGUGCCAGCAGCCGCGGUAAUACGGAGGAUGCAAGCGUUAUCCGGAUUUAUUGGGUUUAAAGGGUGCGUAGGCGGGUCUUUAAGUCAGUGGUGAAAUCUUGUCGCUUAACGAUAAAACUGCCAUUGAUACUGAAGAUCUUGAGUAUACUUGAAGUGGGCGGAAUGUACAGUGUAGCGGUGAAAUGCUUAGAUAUUGUACAGAACACCGAUUGCGUAGGCAGCUCACUAAAUUAUAACUGACGCUGAGGC
rnacentral:rRNA from 1 species